GAUGAACGCUGGCGGCGUGCUUAACACAUGCAAGUCGAACGGAAAGGCCCAAGCUUGCUUGGGUACUCGAGUGGCGAACGGGUGAGUAACACGUGGGUGAUCUGCCCUGCACUUCGGGAUAAGCCUGGGAAACUGGGUCUAAUACCGGAUAGGACGAUGGUUUGGAUGCCAUUGUGGAAAGUUUUUUCGGUGUGGGAUGAGCUCGCGGCCUAUCAGCUUGUUGGUGGGGUAAUGGCCUACCAAGGCGUCGACGGGUAGCCGGCCUGAGAGGGUGUACGGCCACAUUGGGACUGAGAUACGGCCCAGACUCCUACGGGAGGCAGCAGUGGGGAAUAUUGCACAAUGGGCGCAAGCCUGAUGCAGCGACGCCGCGUGGGGGAUGACGGCCUUCGGGUUGUAAACUCCUUUCGCUAGGAACGAAGCGUUUUUGUGACGGUACCUGGAGAAGAAGCACCGGCUAACUACGUG
rnacentral:rRNA from 1 species